rnacentral:lncRNA from 1 species
UGUUAUUAGGGUCUACACUGAAAGAAGUGAUAACUAUGCUGAGUAGUUUUUUUGUAUUUUUUUGUUUUUUGGUUUGUUUGUUGUUUUUUUUUUUUGAGACGGAGUCUCGCUCUGUUGCCCAGGCUGGAGUGCAGUGGUGCGAUCUUGGCUCACUCCAAGUUCCACCUUCCAGGUUCACGCCAUUCUCCUGCCUCAUAUGCUGAGUAGUUUUAAUAAAGAAAAGCAUCCAGACAUCCCCACAAACAAGACUUUGUGACUGGAGCCUCAGUAAGGGGUCACUGAACUCCAGAACCACACUCACUCAACAAGACAAAGUACCUUCCUCAACACCAGGCUGCUGAACCCUCCCAUAGCUCACACACAGCUGCCCAUUGUCAAAAACAAAAGCAAUGAGUGAGAUGGAAUUCUCUUUUCAAUAUCUGCUCCUACCCUCAAAGUAGACGCUGCCUUUGGGUGGGCCAGUCCAGUAGCAUAACCAAGGAAUGUAAAUCCUCAGCAUGUAAAGGCGGGGUGGAAAGAAGCCACAGACACGCAUGUGGGAGACUCGCGCACCCACACCAAAGCUGACUUCGAUGCUUAAAGGUCGAAGCACCGGACCCCUCUUCUUUUAUCUCUGUGGUAGAGACAAACACAACUUACAUCUCAUUUCCUCAUGAUCUACAGUGAAAGAAAGUGAGUGGAAUACAGGUUAUAGGCAUUUACAAGAUUCCAGUCCAUUGAGACCUUGCACAUGGGAACACAACAGCAUCUCUUCAAAUGCAAUUUUGAAGAUGUUCACACAGGCAUCAUGGGGAGAAGACUGGAAGGAAUGCUCUGCACCCUGGGGUUGUGUGCUGAGUGCGACUCUGGGGAAGAAAAUGACUCCACAGCUUAAAUAAAAAUGUUGAAGGCCACUGUGAGCUACAUCUCAAAUGGCCCCCGAGGGAUCUUUUCCAUGGCCUUAGCUCACUUGCAGAAGACAUCUGCAUGGCCCAGCAAGCUCCGCGGAUGCAGAGGCAGAGUGUGAUCAAAGCCCAGCUCAGCUCUCCUCUGGUCGCCGAAUACCUGUCUGGGGCACAUUGGAGAGGAGCAGGGGACCUGCAGACUGUGCCCAUCAAGACAGCGACUGCCAUUUUCUGUGCCUCCAGGACUGGGGUCAUCAUCAGGGCUGUGCAUACAGGACAAAAAGCUCUCAUUUUUCCAUCUGGCAUUCCUCAUCUCUGGAUCGGCAUGGGCAGCAGUAAAUUCCAGGAGAGACCUUAGCCAACCAUCCCCUUUGUUUCCUGAAAGAAGAGAGGUUUAUGUUCUCCUGGAAGGCUGACCAGCAGUAACUUAGGGAAGCCACAGGCCAGCAGCACACUGAAAUGCAGAUGUGAUUAGAUAAACGAGGGAGCAAAGGCAUGUUGUGUCAUUAUAGCUUUACAUAAACUCUCCUUUUCCAAUAAGCUCGCCAAGUGUUCUCUGUUGGUAUCAAUCAAACAGCUCCUAAAAACUUACAAUUUCCUAAAACUCUACCAAAUUGGCCUUUCAGCAGUCACUGCACUGGCCCCAGGCCACCCACACUGCUGCGUGCUAGCAAGCCGCCCUCCACCUUCUACUUUACACCUCCGUUUAUUCAACCAAAAAUGUUUCUUCAUCAUCUACAUGGCAGUUGGUACGAUACUAAGAGACAUGGAAGAUUAAAAAGUAAAAAAAUCAAAUGCAAAUCAUGACCUCAAGAACAUAUAAUUUAGUGUAAAGAUAAAAUAGCAUUUACUGUUAUAUAAAGAGGAAACUUAUUUGUACAGCAAGUAAAAUUCAGCAGCAUUUUACAUCCGUGUUUUUCUGUGGAAUUUUGCAGUCUCAUUCUAGUAAUUAUAUUCUUGUUGUAUCUUUUAUUUAUUUGCCCAUUUUUACUGUCACUGUAAUUUUCUCUCUAGGACACCACCAACAAAUAAGAAUAUGGAAAUAAAAACUGAAAUGGGCCUUUGAGGUCAUCCAGUUCCGCGAAGUCAUUUCACAAAUGAGAAAAUCAAGGCCUAUAGAAAUUAAAAGAUAUGUCCAAAGUCAUAGGCUCAAUUCGUAGAAGUAUUAGCUCUAGGCCUCCCCACUGCCCGACUUAAUAUUUCAUUGCCAAUAUAACUUUUGA